rnacentral:rRNA from 1 species
AUUGAACGCUGGCGGCAUGCCUUACACAUGCAAGUCGAACGGCAGCACGGGAGCAAUCCUGGUGGCGAGUGGCGAACGGGUGAGUAAUAUAUCGGAACGUGCCCAGUCGUGGGGAUAACGUAGCGAAAGCUACGCUAAUACCGCAUACGAUCUAUGGAUGAAAGCGGGGGAUCGCAAGACCUCGCGCGAUUGGAGCGGCCGAUAUCAGAUUAGGUAGUUGGUGAGGUAAAGGCUCACCAAGCCGACGAUCUGUAGCUGGUCUGAGAGGACGACCAGCCACACUGGGACUGAGACACGGCCCAGACUCCUACGGGAGGCAGCAGUGGGGAAUUUUGGACAAUGGGCGCAAGCCUGAUCCAGCAAUGCCGCGUGCAGGAUGAAGGCCUUCGGGUUGUAAACUGCUUUUGUACGGUAACGAAACGGUGAGCUCUAAUACAGUUUGCUAAUGACGGUACCGUAAGAAUAAGCACCGGCUAACUACGUACG